rnacentral:rRNA from 1 species
ACGGGAGGCAGCAGUGAGGAAUAUUGGUCAAUGGACGGAAGUCUGAACCAGCCAAGUCGCGUGCGGGAUGAAGGCCCUACGGGUCGUAAACCGCUUUUGUACGGGGAUAAAGUCACCCACGUGUGGGUGUUUGUAGGUACCGUAAGAAUAAGGAUCGGCUAACUCCGUGCCAGCAGCCGCGGUAAUACGGAGGAUCCGAGCGUUAUCCGGAUUUACUGGGUGUAAAGGGCGUGUAGGCGGGACAUCAAGUCAGAUGUGAAAGCACGAGGCUCAACUUCGUGUCUGCAUUUGAAACUGACGUUCUUGAGUGUUGGAGAGGCUAACGGAACUCCUAGUGUAGCGGUGAAAUGCGUAGAUAUUAGGAAGAACACCAGUGGCGAAGGCGGUUAGCUGGACAAUAACUGACGCUGAGGCGCGAAAGCGUGGGUAGCAAACAGGAUUAGAUACCCUGGUA